rnacentral:rRNA from 1 species
GGAAUAUUGCACAAUGGGGGAAACCCUGAUGCAGCGACGCCGCGUGAGUGAAGAAGUGAUUCGUCACGUAAAGCUCUAUCAGCAGGAAAGAAAAUGACGGUACCUGACUAAGAAGCCCCGGCUAACUACGUGCCAGCAGCCGCGGUAAUACGUAGGGGGCAAGCGUUAUCCGGAUUUACUGGGUGUAAAGGGAGCGUAGACGGCAGGGCAAGUCUGAAGUGAAAGCCCGGGGCCCAACCCCGGGACUGCUUUGGAAACUGUCCGGCUGGAGUGCAGGAGGGGUGGGCGGAAUUCCUAGUGUAGCGGUGAAAUGCGUAGAUAUUAGGAGGAACACCGGCGGCGAAGGCGGCCCACUGGACUGUAACUGACGUUGAGGCUCGAAAGCGUGGGGAGCAAA